GUAAACAGCAGAGGCAGGGCGGGCGAGCGGCCAAGAUGCUGCAAGAGGCUCAGAGGGGCGAAGCCGCAUGCUGAGGAGCGGUCCGAGAAGGCGCCAUGCAGGCAGCCUUUGGAAUUGGAUGAGCAUUUGAGGUGCCACAAGCGAUGACGGCCACAGCGUCCGACACUGGAAUUCCUGC